rnacentral:rRNA from 1 species
CCUACGGGGUGCAGCAGUGAGGAAUAUUGGUCAAUGGGCGCGAGCCUGAACCAGCCAAGUAGCGUGAAGGAUGACUGCCCUACGGGUUGUAAACUUCUUUUAUAAAGGAAUAAAGUGAGGCACGUGUGCCUUUUUGUAUGUACUUUAUGAAUAAGGAUCGGCUAACUCCGUGCCAGCAGCCGCGGUAAUACGGAGGAUCCGAGCGUUAUCCGGAUUUAUUGGGUUUAAAGGGAGCGUAGAUGGGUUGGUAAGUCAGUUGUGAAAGUUUGCGGCUCAACCGUAAAAGUGCAAUUGAUACUGGCAGCCUUGAGUACAGUUGAGGUAGGCGGAAUGCGUGGUGUAGCGAUGAAAUGCUUAGAUAUCACGAAGAACUCCGAUUGCGAAGGCAGCUUACUAAACUGCCACUGACAUUGAUGCUCGAAAGUGUGGGUAUCAAACAGGAUUAGAUACCCCGGUAGUC